rnacentral:rRNA from 1 species
AUUGAACGCUGGCGGCAGGCUUAACACAUGCAAGUCGAGCGGAGAUGAGGUGCUUGCACCUUAUCUUAGCGGCGGACGGGUGAGUAAUGCUUAGGAAUCUGCCUAUUAGUGGGGGACAACAUUCCGAAAGGAAUGCUAAUACCGCAUACGUCCUACGGGAGAAAGCAGGGGAUCUUCGGACCUUGCGCUAAUAGAUGAGCCUAAGUCGGAUUAGCUAGUUGGUGGGGUAAAGGCCUACCAAGGCGACGAUCUGUAGCGGGUCUGAGAGGAUGAUCCGCCACACUGGGACUGGGACACGGCCCAGACUCCUACGGGAGGCAGCAGUGGGGAAUAUUGGACAAUGGGGGGAACCCUGAUCCAGCCAUGCCGCGUGUGUGAGGAAGGCCUUAUGGUUGUAAAGCACUUUAAGCGAGGAGGAGGCUACUGAGACUAAUACUCUUGGAUAGUGGACGUUACUCGCAGAAUAAGCACCGGCUAACUCUGUGCCAGCCGCCGCAGUAAAAC